GACGAACGCUGGCGGCGUGCCUAACACAUGCAAGUCGAACGGUCAAACGCGUACCUUUUUCGUGUGUGUGUAUCAGUGGCGAACGGGGGAGUAACACGUGAGUAACCUGCUCCCUCCUUCUUGAUAACCGCAUGAAAGUGUGGCUACUGCGGGAUAUUCUGGGUCUGUCGCAUCAUGGGUCUGAGAAGGAUAUUGUUUCGGUGAGAGAUGGGCUCGCGGCCUAUCAGCUAGUUGGUGAGGUGAUGGCCUACCAAGGCGGCGAUGGGUAGCCGGCCUGAGAGGGGGGUCGACGGUAACAGAGGGGCGGAGAGACGGAGAAGACUACUAGGGGAGGCAGUAGUGGGGAAUACGGCAUGAGGGGAGGAAGGCUGAUGCAGCGACGCCGCAGGGGUGAUGGUCGUCGGCUGGUUGAAAACUGCUUUUGGGAGAGAAGAAGGCCUGCCGCGUCUGUGGGUGGGUUGACGGUAGCUGGAUAAGAAGCGACGGCUAACUACGUG
rnacentral:rRNA from 1 species